rnacentral:rRNA from 1 species
UGGGGAAUAUUGCACAAUGGGCGCAGGCCUGAUGCAGCCAUGCCGCGUGUAUGAAGAAGGCCUUCGGGUUGUAAAGUACUUUCAGCGGGGAGGAAGGGAGUAAAGUUAAUACCUUUGCUCAUUGACGUUACCCGCAGAAGAAGCUCCGGCUAACUCCGUGCCAGCAGCCGCGGUAAUACGGAGGGUGCAAGCGUUAAUCGGAAUUACUGGGCGUAAAGCGCACGCAGGCGGUUUGUUAAGUCAGAUGUGAAAUCCCCGGGCUCAACCUGGGAACUGCAUCUGAUACUGGCAAGCUUGAGUCUCGUAGAGGGGGGUAGAAUUCCAGGUGUAGCGAUGAAAUGCGUAGAGAUCUGGAGGAAUACCGGUGGCGAAGGCGGCCCCCUGGACGAAGACUGACGCUCAGGUGCGAAAGCGUGGGGAGCAAACAGG